AGAGUUUGAUCCUGGCUCAGAUUGAACGCUGGCGGCAUGCCUUACACAUGCAAGUCGAACGGUAACAGGUCUCCGGACGCUGACGAGUGGCGAACGGGUGAGUAAUACAUCGGAACGUGCCCAGUCGUGGGGGAUAACUACUCGAAAGAGUAGCUAAUACCGCAUACGAUCUGAGGAUGAAAGCGGGGGACCUUCGGGCCUCGCGCGAUUGGAGCGGCCGAUGGCAGAUUAGGUAGUUGGUGGGAUAAAAGCUUACCAAGCCGACGAUCUGUAGCUGGUCUGAGAGGACGACCAGCCACACUGGGACUGAGACACGGCCCAGACUCCUACGGGAGGCAGCAGUGGGGAAUUUUGGACAAUGGGCGAAAGCCUGAUCCAGCAAUGCCGCGUGCAGGAUGAAGGCCUUCGGGUUGUAAACUGCUUUUGUACGGAACGAAAAAGCUUCUCCUAAUACGAGAGGCCCAUGACGGUACCGUAAGAAUAAGCACCGGCUAACUACGUGCCAGCAGCCGCGGUAAU
rnacentral:rRNA from 1 species